AGUGAACGCUGGCGGUAUGCCUAACACAUGCAAGUCGAACGGCAGCACAGUAAGCGCUUGCUCUUACUGUUGGCGAGUGGCGGACGGGUGAGGAAUACAUCGGAAUCUACUUUUUCGUGGGGGAUAACGUAGGGCCACUUACGCUAAUACCGCAUACGACCUACGGGUGAAAGCAGGGGAUCUUCGGACCUUGCGCGAUUGUAUGAGCCGAUGUCGGAUUAGCUAGUUGGCGGGGUAAAGGCCCACCAAGGCGACGAUCCGUAGCUGGUCUGAGAGGAUGAUCGGCCACACUGGAACUGAGACACGGUCCAGACUCCUACGGGAGGCAGCAGUGGGGAAUAUUGGGCAAUGGGCGAAAGCCUGAUGCAGCCAUACCGCGUGAGUGAAGAAGGCCUUCGGGUUGUAAAGCCCUUUUGUUGGGGAAGAAAAGAAGUAGGAGAAAACGCCGAUGUUCUGACGGUACCCAAAGAAAAAGCAACGGCUAACUUCGUG
rnacentral:rRNA from 1 species